rnacentral:rRNA from 1 species
AGCGAACGCUGGCGGCAGGCCUAACACAUGCAAGUCGAACGAACUCUUCGGAGUUAGUGGCGGACGGGUGAGUAACACGUGGGAACGUGCCUUUUGGUUCGGAAUAACUCAGGGAAACUUGUGCUAAUACCGAAUGUGCCCUUCGGGGGAAAGAUUUAUCGCCAUUAGAGCGGCCCGCGUCUGAUUAGCUAGUUGGUGAGGUAACGGCUCACCAAGGCGACGAUCAGUAGCUGGUCUGAGAGGAUGACCAGCCACACUGGGACUGAGACACGGCCCAGACUCCUACGGGAGGCAGCAGUGGGGAAUCUUGCGCAAUGGGCGAGAGCCUGACGCAGCCAUGCCGCGUGAAUGAUGAAGGUCUUAGGAUUGUAAAAUUCUUUCACCGGGGACGAUAAUAACGGUACCCGGAGAAGAAGCCCCGGCUAACUUCGUG